UACGAAGGUGGCAAGCGUUACUCGGAAUUACUAGGCGUAAAGCGCAGGUAGGCGGUUCGAUAAGUCCUUUGUGAAAGCUCCCGGCUUAACUGGGAGAGGUCAAGGGAAACUGUCGAGCUAGAGUGUGGUAGAGGCGAGUGGAAUUCCCGGUGUAGCGGUGAAAAUGCGCAGAUAUCGGGAGGAACACCAGUAGCGAAGGCGGCUCGCUGGGCCGUUCCUGACGCUGAGACGCGAAAGCUAGGGGAGCGAACAGG
rnacentral:rRNA from 1 species